GACGAACGCUGGCGGCGUGCCUAAUACAUGCAAGUAGAACGCUGAAGGAGGAGCUUGCUUCUCUGGAUGAGUUGCGAACGGGUGAGUAACGCGUAGGUAACCUGCCUGGUAGCGGGGGAUAACUAUUGGAAACGAUAGCUAAUACCGCAUAAGAGUAGAUGUCGCAUGACAUUUGCUUAAAAGAUGCAAUUGCAUCACUACCAGAUGGACCUGCGUUGUAUUAGCUAGUUGGUGAUGUAACGGCUCACCAAGGCAACGAUACAUAGCCGACCUGGGAGGGGGAACGGCCACACUGGGACUGGGACACGGCCCAGACUCCUACGGGAGGCAGCAGGAGGGGAACUUCGGCAAUGGGCGGAAGGCUGACCGAGGAAAGCCGCGUGAGGGAAGAAGGGUGUCGGGUCGGAAAGCUCUGUUGUAAGAGAAGAACGAGAGUGGGAGUGGAAAGUUCACACUGUGACGGUAUCUAACCAGAAAGGGACGGCUAACUACGUG
rnacentral:rRNA from 1 species